rnacentral:rRNA from 1 species
AUUGGUCAAUAGCCUAACGGCUGAACCAGCAACUUGGAGGAAUGUAUAGCGAAAGCUGAUUGUAUUAUAUUUAAUAUAAUAUCGAUUUAAUCGAAUAAAAUUCUGGGUAGAAUUAUGAUAAUGACAUUAUCUAUCUAAAUUUCUUGACCAAAACACGUGCCAGCAGUCGCGGCAACACGUCGCAGAUAAGUGUUAUUCAUCAUUAUUUGGUUUAAAGGGUACCUAGACAGUAAAUCAAGCCUAUAAAAUUAUUUUAUAAGGAACUAAUUUGCUAGAGUUACUUAUGAGGGGGCUUAAAAGUACUGUCGGUGUAGAGAUGAAAUUCGUUGAUACCUUAUUUGGGAAGUUAAUGGCACAGGUAAAGGCGAAAGCAUCCCCUUAUGUGAUAACUGACGUUGAAGGACGAAGGCUUUGGUAACAAACAGGAUUAGAUACCCCAUUAGUCAAAGCAGAAAAUGAUGAGUGUCAUAGAUUAGGUUAAUACUUAUUCUAUAAAUGAAAGUGUAAGCACUCCACCUCAAGAGUAAUUUGGCAACAUUGGAACUGAAAUCAUUAGACCGUUUCUGAUACCAGUAGUGAAGUAUGUUGUUUAAUUAGAUAAUACGCCAAAAACCUUACCACAAUUUGAAUAUUUAUAUUAUUAAUUUAUAUUUUUACUUGACAAAUUUAACAGGUGAGUAAAUGAAUGAAUAAUAUAUAUACAAGCGUUGCACGGUUGUUUUCAGUUAAUGUCGUGAGGCUGUGGUUAGUUCCAUAAAUUAACGUAAACCCUUAUUUUAUUUUUAUAUAAAAUAGUUCUCCAUCAUAUUGGAUAAGAUAACAGGGAUCAAAACAAGCCAUCAUGACCUAAAUAUUGUGGGCUAU